AGGAAGCCUGACCUUGAGAGAUUUCCAGUCCAAUUUCUGUAGACUCUGAAGGAUCAGAUAACCCCAGGUUAAGCAAUUAGAGGCUUACCCAGAUGGAGACUCUGAACUGUGCAACUCUUCAUUCAUCUGCAUUUUCCUCUCCUUGGCAUUAUGUCUCAGUUGGGUGGAUUAACUGAAUUCAUUAAAAAAAAAUGUAGCUAUAAUAAUGGAGAGAAUAACGUUCUUCAUACUAAUUCCCGAACUGCAAAUUCAGACUCAAAAUAUUUCUGAGAAUUCCACAAAUUAACCGUAUUGGAGCUGGAUUACCCUCACGGACUAAGCUAUUGGCCACCACUGCCUGGACAUGACCUUGAUCCAUAAAGCUUCGAGAAUGGCAUUUUCACUAGGUGUUGCCAUGCCAGAGACUCAUAAACUCCAAACGGUAUGGAAUGAGAAACAUUCAAAACAUAGAGACCCAGCCGAGGAAAUCAAAUACAUGUGGCAGCAGGCAUCUCAUCCGAAGGCAUCCCCUCCCUCUAGUCGCCUACUGAACUCAUCCCGAAGGUGGCUUCAGUGAGUCUGCGGAAGAGGGGCUGACAUCCCAGUGCUCUUAUUCAGGUCCCAAAAGAAGACAUUUUAUCCGUCAACUACAAAAGGAUAGCACACUCAUGAUAACUAGCAUUUAUAUAGGGCUUUAAGGUUAGUAACUCAUUUGAGCCUCACAGCAAUCCUGGGAGACAGAUGCGAUUAUUAUCCCCCUUUUGCAGAUGAGGAAAUGGAAGAAAGAGGAAGUGACUUGCCCAAAGUUACCUCACAAAGGACAAAGAGAAGAGUUAAGCUGGGUAAGACUGGUUGUAUCCGAGAAGCACAGCUGAGAUGUUCUUGGUUUUCAAAGGGUCUUCCCUUGUCUUUGUGUUUGGGUACUCUGCAAGUGCAGCCAGAUGCACACACGGUGGAAAGAAUGCUCUCACCCCAGGAGUGGUUGGAGUGUGUGUGUGUCUGUAUGUGGGUGCGUGCGGCCAUUUUCCACAGGAAACCAAGGGUAAGUGUUGGCAGAUCAAUAAUAUUCCUAGGUAGGAGGAGUGUUUCAAAGAGGGAUCCAUU
rnacentral:lncRNA from 1 species